UACGUAGGUGGUAAGCGUUGUUCGGAAUUACUGGGCGUAAAGGGCUCGUAGGCGGCCAACUAAGUCAGACGUGAAAUCCCUCGGCUUAACCGGGGAACUGCGUCUGAUACUGGAUGGCUUGAGAUUGGGAGAGGGAUGCGGAAUUCCAGGUGUAGCGGUGAAAUGCGUAGAUAUCUGGAGGAACACCGGUGGCGAAGGCGGCAUCCUGGACCAACACUGACGCUGAGGAGCGAAAGCCAGGGGAGCAAACGGG
rnacentral:rRNA from 1 species